GACGGAGGGUGCUAGCGUUGUUCGGAAUUACUGGGCGUAAAGGGCGCGUAGGCGGUUCACUCAGUCGGGCUUGUAAGUGCGGGGCUCACCCCCGUGAUGGGCUCGGGACGGGUGUGACUGGGGCGCGGUAGAGGGAGACGGAAUGCCGGGUGUAGUGGUGAAAUGCGUAGAGAUCCGGCGGAACACCGGUGGCGAAGGCGGUCUCCUGGGCCGAGGGCCGACGCUGAGGCGCGAGAGCGUGGGGAGCGAACCGG
rnacentral:rRNA from 1 species